rnacentral:lncRNA from 1 species
GAAGUUGAUCCUUCAUAGGACUACACCCAAAUCAAGCAUAAGAUUACUGGUGUAUGAUCAAAGGAACUCAACGACUCUUUAGACGUGCUAAAAAUCUCAACGUCUCUCUACUCACCACUAUAUAAAGGAGUGAAGACUUGAAGAUUGGUAAGAGACAUCAACACAAGUUAAAAGCGCCAAAACUCUGCCAAAUUUGAUUCUAAAAAGCACUUUGAAUUUCUGCACUGAUUUGAUACAUCUUAGAAAUUCUUAAGUCUAGAGUCU